ACUGAGGAGUUGUUCGUGCAAGUCGAACCAUUUUGACACCCAACAGCUAGCUUUCCCCUCCAAACCAAACAAACCC
rnacentral:tRNA from 1 species